UUAAGUUAACAAGGGCGCAUGGUGAAUGCCUUGGCACUAGGAGCCGAUGAAGGACGGGACUAACACCGAUAUGCUUCGGGGAGCUGUACGUAAGCUAUGAUCCGGAGAUUUCCGAAUGGGGCAACCCAGCAGUUUUAAUCAACUGUUACCACUAGAUGAAUUCAUAGUCUAGUUGGAGGUAAACGCUGUGAACUGAAACAUCUCAUUAGCAGCAGGAAUAUAAAGAAAUUUCGAUUCCCUAAGUAGCGGCGAGCGAACGGGGAACAGCCCAAACCAAAGUGCUUGCACUUUGGGGUUGUAGGACUGAACAUUUGAGUUACCAAAGAACUUGAUAGUCGAAGGAUUUGGGAAAAUCCGCCAUAGAUGGUGAUAGCCCAGUAGAUUAAAUCAAAUUCUCUCAGUUCAGGAUCCUGAGUACGGCGGAACACGUGAAAUUCCGUCGGAAUCCGGGAGGACCAUCUCCCAAGGCUAAAUACUACCUAGUGACCGAUAGUGAACCAGUACCGUGAGGGAAAGGUGAAAAGCACCCCGGGAGGGGAGUGAAAUAGUUCCUGAAACCAUGUGCCUACAAUAAGUCAGAGCGCGUUAAUGCGUGAUGGCGUGCCUUUUGUAGAAUGAACCGGCGAGUUAUGAUCCCGUGCAAGGUUAAGACUAAAAAGUCGGAGCCGUAGCGAAAGCGAGUCUGAAAUGGGCGUUUUGAGUACGAGGUUAUAGACCCGAAACCAGGUGACCUAUCCAUGUCCAGGUUGAAGGUGCGGUAAAACGCACUGGAGGACCGAACCCGUGUAAGUUGAAAAUUGCUGGGAUGAGGUGUGGAUAGCGGUGAAAUUCCAAACGAACUUGGAGAUAGCUGGUUCUCUCCGAAAUAGCUUUAGGGCUAGCCUCGGAAUUAGGAUCAUGGAGGUAGAGCACUAUUUGGACUAGGGGCCCGUCUUGGGUUACUGAAUUCAGAUAAACUCCGAAUGCCAUUGAUUCAUAUCCGGGAGUCAGACGAUGAGUGAUAAGAUCCACCGUCGAAAGGGGAACAGCCCAGACCAUCAGUUAAGGUCCCUAAAUGUAUGCUAAGUGGAAAAGGAUGUGGAGUUGCAUAGACAACUAGGAUGUUGGCUCAGAAGCAGCCACCAUUUAAAGAGUGCGUAAUAGCUCACUAGUCGAGUGAUCCUGCGCCGAAAAUGUACCGGGGCUAAGCAUACUACCGAAACCAUGGAUGCGACCAUUAGGUCGCGUGAUAGGAGAGCGUUCUAAGGGCGGUGAAGCAAGAUCGUGAGGACUUGUGGAGCGCUUAGAAGUGAGAAUGCCGGUAUGAGUAGCGAAAGAUAGGUGAGAAUCCUAUCCACCGAAUGACUAAGGUUUCCUGGGGAAGGCUCGUCCUCCCAGGGUUAGUCGGGACCUAAGUCGAGGCCGAGAGGCGUAGACGAUGGAUAACAGGUUGAGAUUCCUGUACUAGUUAAGUGCGUUUGAGCAAUGGAGGGACGCAGGAGGCUAAGAUGUGCAUUCUGUUGGAUUAGAAUGUCCAAGCAGUAAGUCUUGUGAAGAGUCAAAUGCUUUUCACUUUAAGGACAAGCUGUGAUGGGGAGCGAAAUUUAGUAGCGAAGCGUCUGAUGUCACACUGCCGAGAAAAGCUUCUAGUGAGUACUUAACUACCCGUACCGCAAACCGACACAGGUAGUCGAGGAGAGAAUCCUAAGGUGAGCGAGUGAACUCUCGUUAAGGAACUCGGCAAAAUGACCCCGUAACUUCGGGAGAAGGGGUGCUGAUCGCAAGAUCAGCCGCAGUGAAUAGGCCCAGGCGACUGUUUAUCAAAAACACAGGUCUCUGCAAAAUCGUAAGAUGACGUAUAGGGGCUGACGCCUGCCCGGUGCUGGAAGGUUAAAAGGAUGGGUUAGCUUCGGCGAAGCUCAGAAUUGAAGCCCCAGUAAACGGCGGCCGUAACUAUAACGGUCCUAAGGUAGCGAAAUUCCUUGUCGGGUAAGUUCCGACCCGCACGAAAGGCGUAACGAUCUGGGCACUGUCUCAACGAGAGACUCGGUGAAAUUAUAUUGUCCGUGAAGAUGCGGACUACCCGCGACAGGACGGAAAGACCCCAUGGAGCUUUACUGUAGCUUGAUAUUGAGUGUUUGUACAGCUUGUACAGGAUAGGUAGGAGCCAUAGAAACCGGAACGCUAGUUUCGGUGGAGGCGUUGGUGGGAUACUACCCUCGCUGUAUGACCACUCUAACCCGCACCACUAAUCGUGGUGGGAGACAGUGUCAGGUGGGCAGUUUGACUGGGGCGGUCGCCUCCUAAAAAGUAACGGAGGCGCCCAAAGGUUCCCUCAGAAUGGUUGGAAAUCAUUCGCAGAGUGUAAAGGCACAAGGGAGCUUGACUGCGAGACAGACAGGUCGAGCAGGGACGAAAGUCGGGCUUAGUGAUCCGGUGGUACCGUAUGGAAGGGCCAUCGCUCAACGGAUAAAAGCUACCCUGGGGAUAACAGGCUUAUCUCCCCCAAGAGUCCACAUCGACGGGGAGGUUUGGCACCUCGAUGUCGGCUCAUCGCAUCCUGGGGCUGUAGUCGGUCCCAAGGGUUGGGCUGUUCGCCCAUUAAAGCGGUACGCGAGCUGGGUUCAGAACGUCGUGAGACAGUUCGGUCCCUAUCCGUCGCGGGCGUAGGAAAUUUGAGAGGACCUGUCCUUAGUACGAGAGGACCGGGAUGGACAUACCUCUGGUGUACCAGUUGUGCCGCCAGGCGCAUCGCUGGGUAGCUACGUAUGGAUGUGAUAAACGCUGAAAGCAUCUAAGUGUGAAAC
rnacentral:rRNA from 2 species